rnacentral:rRNA from 1 species
GGAAUCAACGCUGGCGGCGUGCCUAACACAUGCAAGUCGCACGAGAAAGGGUAGCAAUACCUGAGUAAAGUGGCGCACGGGUGAGUAACACGUGAAUGAUCUACCUCCGAGUGGGGAAUAACUGAGAGAAAUCUUAGCUAAUACCGCAUAACACUUACGAGUCAAAGCAGCAAUGCGCUUGGAGAGGAGUUCGCGGCCGAUUAGUUAGUUGGCGGGGUAAUGGCCCACCAAGACGAUGAUCGGUA